AUUGCCAACAACGAGAGUACCAGAAGUAUGGAGCACCAUCAACUCUAGAAGAAAAAAAAUGACCAUGUCAAGAGCAGAGGCGUGAUCCUUUCCUAUCUUCUCAAAGGAGAACUACCUGAUGCAGAACCCAUUCCCAAACCGAAACAAUACAAAGGUUAGGCUCUAGAAUAUCAAAAGAGAAAGAAAGCUGAUUCGUUCUAUCUUGGUCCAGGUUAUACAGUUUUGAGGUCGAAACCUUGUCAAGAGGGAGGGGAUGUUGUAGUCCUAAAAUCCGUGGUUCAGCUAGAGUCUCACCAAACCUCC
rnacentral:lncRNA from 1 species